rnacentral:rRNA from 2 species
CGCUGGCGGCGUGCCUAAUACAUGCAAGUCGAACGCUUUGUGGUUCAACUGAUUUGAAGAGCUUGCUCAGAUAUGACGAUGGACAUUGCAAAGAGUGGCGAACGGGUGAGUAACACGUGGGAAACCUACCUCUUAGCAGGGGAUAACAUUUGGAAACAGAUGCUAAUACCGUAUAACAAUAGCAACCGCAUGGUUGCUACUUAAAAGAUGGUUCUGCUAUCACUAAGAGAUGGUCCCGCGGUGCAUUAGUUAGUUGGUGAGGUAAUGGCUCACCAAGACGAUGAUGCAUAGCCGAGUUGAGAGACUGAUCGGCCACAAUGGGACUGAGACACGGCCCAUACUCCUACGGGAGGCAGCAGUAGGGAAUCUUCCACAAUGGGCGAAAGCCUGAUGGAGCAACGCCGCGUGUGUGAUGAAGGGUUUCGGCUCGUAAAACACUGUUGUAAGAGAAGAAUGACAUUGAGAGUAACUGUUCAAUGUGUGACGGUAUCUUACCAGAAAGGAACGGCUAAAUACGUGCCAGCAGCCGCGGUAAUACGUAUGUUCCAAGCGUUAUCCGGAUUUAUUGGGCGUAAAGCGAGCGCAGACGGUUAUUUAAGUCUGAAGUGAAAGCCCUCAGCUCAACUGAGGAAUUGCUUUGGAAACUGGAUGACUUGAGUGCAGUAG